rnacentral:lncRNA from 1 species
UGACUGAGCUUCUAUAAUAAGCAGCCUCCUUUCAGCCUUCUGCAAGAAUCGGACUCCAUCCGAACUUUCAUAGCGGAUGGAUUCUGGACGAGCUUCUACGACAGACCGGCUCCAGCAGCUGGAUUUCUACAAUGGUCGAUCACCUCUGGUGUCUGCCGAACCUCCCCAGUCGUCAACCUUCAAUAGCGUCAGUCGGACUUCAACAAUGCCAUCCAGACUUCCACAGGAUCCCUAGACUCCUCCAACGGAUGAACCUCCCCAACAUCAUCCGAAGUCCACCACCGACCGACCCUCUGCCAGAUUCUUCAUGAAACCGAACUUCUCUGGCGGAUAAUCUUCAAACGAGCUUCCACAUUAGGCAAAUCCCAGACGGACUUCUCUAGCAAUCGGACUCCUACUGGACUUCACCAACAGAAAGUCUCCAUCUGAGCUUCUAUAGUAGAUGACUCCCACC